GCUGGGCAUGGUGGCGCGUGCCUGUAGUCCCAGCUACUUGGGAGGCUGAGACAAGAGAAUUGCUUAAACCCAGGAGGCGGAGGUUGCGGUGAGCCCAGAUCGCGCCAUUGCACUCCAGCCUUGGUAACAAGAGCGAAACUCGGUUUCAAAAGAAAAAUAUAUAUACAAAAAUUAGCUGAGUUUUGCUCUUGUAACCUAGGCUGGAGUGCAAUGGUGGGAUCUCGGCUCACCACAACCUCCGUCUUCUGGGUUCAAGCAAUUCUCUU
rnacentral:SRP_RNA from 13 species